rnacentral:lncRNA from 1 species
GUCAGACAAGGGCAGCAUGUGUGAAGACUGCGGGCCAGACCCGUCACCAACCUCUGAGGAAAUGACAGACUCAAUGGCUGGGCACCUGCCAUCGGAGGAUUCUGAUUGUGGGAUGGAGAUGCUGACACACAAAGGCCUGAGUGAGGACCCACGGCCUGAGGAGAGGCCCGUGGAGGACAGUCAAGGUGACGUGAUCCGGCCCCUGUGGAAGCAGGUGGAGCUGCUCUUCAACACAAGAUACGACCCCUCGCCAACCUCUGAGGAAAUGACAGACUCGAUGCCUGGGCACCUGCCAUCUGAGGAUUCUGAUUGUGGGAUGGAGAUGCUGACACACAGUCAAGGUGACGUGAUCCAGCCCCUGCGGAAGCAGGUGGAGCUGCUCUUCAACAGAUGAUAUGGCCCAGCUGCUUCGGGAUCACCAAGCUCUGGAAGAUUCUGGAGGCCAGCAACAGCAUCCAGUUUGUCAUCAAGAGGCCUGAGCUGCUCACUGAGGGAGUCAAAGAGCCCAUCGACAGUCAAG